UGGCUUGGUUUCCUAGGGGGUGGGCUCAGUGUAAUCCACCUCCUCUCAGCUAAGCCUAGAGCAGAGGGGCCAGGUAUGUGCCUGUCGGGGAGAGCUUCUUAAGCAGGAGCCUUGCCUGGACUGUCCUAGCCUCACAUGU